UGCCCGGUAGCUAAAUGCGGAAGAGAUAAGUGCUGAAAGCAUCUAAGCACGAAACUUGCCCCGAGAUGAGUUCUCCCUGACUCUUUAAGAGUCCUGAAGGAACGUUGAAGACGACGACGUUGAUAGGUCGGGUGUGUAAGUGUAGCGAUACAUUGAGCUAACCGAUACUAAUGAACCGUGAGGCUUAACCUUACAACGCCGAAG
rnacentral:rRNA from 1 species